AGAGAGAGAGAGAGAGAGUUUUUUGGCAAGGAAUUAAUGAUUACAACUCAAUACUGGAUAUUAAUACAUGCUGUUCUCAUAGAGCAUAAGCAAGUACAUUGGAUACCAGAAAAAUAGUAUUAGCAAUCAAUCUGACAAAAUCAAAAUGACAUAAGUUACUACUAUUCUGAAAAACAACAAAUUAACUUCCAGCCAAGUCACUAUAGCUCAAUUCCUAACGUUAUAAUACCUCAGAUGACUAUAUAACCACCAACACACCAAUAAUAAUUUGACCAUGUGAAAGUUUAAGGAGACUGUCUUGGAUUAUGCUAAAUAUCAUUCUGUAAGUUGUAAUUGCUUUUUGUUUAGAGAUAAAUAUUGAAUUGUUUAAUCUAUGUUUAUAGAACAAUA
rnacentral:misc_RNA from 1 species